UACGGAGGGGGCUAGCGUUGUUCGGAAUUACUGGGCGUAAAGCGCGCGUAGGCGGCUUUGUAAGUUAGAGGUGAAAGCCCGGAGCUUAACUCCGGAACUGCCUUUAAGACUGCAUCGCUAGAAUCGUGGAGAGGUGAGUGGAAUUCCGAGUGUAGAGGUGAAAUUCGUAGAUAUUCGCAAGAACACCAGUGGCGAAGGCGGCCAACUGGUCCAUUACUGACGCUGAGGUGCGAAAGCGUGGGGAGCAAACAGG
rnacentral:rRNA from 1 species